rnacentral:lncRNA from 1 species
CAACAAGCAGGAUAAGCCUUCAGAUGAAGGUGGAGUUGGCAGGGUCCUCAUAGGUCCAUCACAGAUCUGACUGCUAAACUGCUACACUCUGAGAGAUACUGCAGCAUUGGGGCAUCCCAAGGGAGGGAGUGACGACACUGCAAUGAACCCCUUCUGAUGGUACCAGGGAAGUCUACAGUGCUCUACAGAGGCUCGUCACUACGUGUCCAUACCAGUUGUCAGCAGGCCCAGGCUGUAGUGAACCCCAGAGAAGGAGAGCCGAGUAAAUGAACACUCUGAUCCUGACUGAGAGGAGAGGGAGCAGACUGUGUCCAAGUCCAUGCGAAACCUCCUCUGUGCCCCCGGAAGACUGCAAACCAACAGCCUGGGUGAGUCACGAG